GAGUGUUUAAGCGCUUGACUGCCAACCAAAAGGUCAGUGGUUCAAAUCCACUAGCGCUCC
rnacentral:tRNA from 1 species